rnacentral:misc_RNA from 1 species
GAAAUGCGAUAAGUAAUGUGAAUUGCAGAAUUCAGUGAAUCAUCGAAUCUUUGAACGCACCUUGCGCUCCUUGGUAUUCCUUGGAGCAUGCCUGUUUGAGUAUCAAGAAAUCUUCAAAGUAAAUCUUUUGUUAACUCAAUUGGUUUCUACUUUGGUAUUGGAGGUCUUUGCAGCUUCACACCUGCUCCUCUUUGUUCAUUAGCUGGAUCUCAGUGUUAUGCUUGGUUCCACUCGGCGUGAUAAGUUAUCUAUCGCUGAGGACACUGUAAAAGGUGGCCAAGGUAAAUGCAGAUGAACCGCUUCUAAUAGUCCAUUGACUUGGACAAUACUUUUAUGAUCUGAUCUCAAAUCAGGUAGGACUACCCGCUGAACUUAAGC